rnacentral:rRNA from 1 species
AUUGAACGCUGGCGGCAUGCCUUACACAUGCAAGUCGAACGGUAGCGGACCUUCGGGUGCCGGCGAGUGGCGAACGGGUGAGUAAUAUAUCGGAACGUACCUUUCAGUGGGGGAUAACGUAGCGAAAGUUACGCUAAUACCGCAUAUUCUGUGAGCAGGAAAGCAGGGGAUCGCAAGACCCUGCGCUGAUUGAGCGGCCGAUAUCAGAUUAGCUAGUUGGUGAGGUAAAGGCUCACCAAGGCGACGAUCUGUAGCGGGUCUGAGAGGAUGAUCCGCCACACUGGAACUGAGACACGGUCCAGACUCCUACGGGAGGCAGCAGUGGGGAAUUUUGGACAAUGGGCGCAAGCCUGAUCCAGCCAUGCCGCGUGAGUGAAGAAGGCCU